rnacentral:rRNA from 1 species
UACGAAGGGAGCAAGCGUUAUUCGGAAUUACUGGGCGUAAAGGGCGUGUAGGCGGUUUGUUAAGUCAGUUGUCAAAUCCCAUGGCUUACCCAUGGGCCGGCAAUUGAUACUGGCAGACUAGAGGGCAAGAGAGAGGAGUGGAAUUCUCGGAGUAGCGGUAAAAUGCGUAGAUCUCGAGAGGAACACCGAUGGCGAAGGCAGCUCUUUGGCUUGUCCCUGACGCUGAGGCGCGAAAGCGUGGGGAGCAAACAGGAUUAGAUACCCCCGUA